rnacentral:rRNA from 1 species
GACGUAGGGGGCGAGCGUUGUCCGGAUUUAUUGGGCGUAAAGCGCGCGUAGGCGGCCUGUUAAGUCGGGUGUGAAAACCCGGGGCUCAACCCCGGGCCUGCAUUCGAUACUGGCAGGCUAGAGGCAGGCAGGGGAGAUCGGAAUUCCUGGUGUAGCGGUGAAAUGCGCAGAUAUCAGGAGGAACACCGGUGGCGAAGGCGGAUCUCUGGGCCUGUCCUGACGCUCAGGCGCGAAAGCGUGGGGAGCAAACAGG